AGCAGGCAGAGUGGAUCCGGUACCUGAUGCUGCAGCAGCCUGACCGGAUCGUUUGAGCUGAUUGGACUCUGGAGAUUCUGGGUUCAGAGGCCCGGGGACGGACAGGCAGAUGGACGGAUGGACACUGGAUGUGGGCAGAUGUACUGAGACCUCCGCAGACUCUCAGAGGAACCGAGGCGGACCCAGAGGCUGGCUGUGUGCCGCAGGUCAGCAGCUUCAGUUCUCAGGUUGCUCCUCCUGCAGAAAUCCUGCUGCCGUCUGUUGAGAGUUUGUGUGCAAACAUGUCGUAUUGGCAGCCAAUCAGUCGGAUUUCUUCCACCGAAACGUGGCAGGAAACCCAGCAGUCUGUCUCUGAGAUCACAGCGAACGCUUGUCAUUUUCAAACCCGGACUGUUCAAGAGUCCAUUCAGCAGGAUUUAUCUUUGGACUUGACACAGACGUUUUGUUUAUGUGGCAGGAUCGUUCCGAUCAGCAGUGCGGCCGGAGUAUCGGAUUACCUUUCCUCAGUCCUUGAGCCGACGUUUUCCAAGAAUAAAUCGAAUCAAAUUUUCACUUUUCCG